rnacentral:rRNA from 1 species
AUUGACCUCGGAUCAGGUAGGGAUACCCGCUGAACNUAAGCAUA